GCGGCGCGCCGCCAGGAACCCCCGCGCCACCGCCGCCGCGCCUGCCUCCAGCAGCUCUCGGCCACGCGACCGUGCGGUCAGCGGCGCUUGGAGGGCGGCCGGAGCUGGGCCUGAGCCUGGGGACUCGCCUGAUCCCGGGCGGCCAUCACCAUCACCACAACCGCCCCACCCCCGCCGUCGCCUCGUGGGGCCCCGGCCCCCUCCCGGGUCCCCUUCUCUCCUCAGACAUGGUGAGAUGUACUCUGAUCUAGAGCAGGCAGCUGGCCAGAGACCCACAGGGAGCUCAGUGAUUGGCCUCAGAUGACCUUGAGGACAAAGAUUGUCCCUUGAAGGGAAGUGAUGGCACAGGCUCUGAUCAGCUCUUCUGGGAACAGACAGAGAAGUGGGAAUUCCUGCCAAAGCCACAGGAUGAAUACAGCGCCAAGAACCUGAACCAGAAAAAUGCAGCAGGAAAGGAAACUGCAGUAGCCACCAUCCUGAGGCUGCUGUACAAGGAGCAUUCCUGAGACAGGGGACGUGCUCCCCAGCCCUCCUUGAGGCCUCUGCCACUGCCCUGCUUGUCUAGAAUCUCCUCCAUUCUGCUUGUGCCACAUCUUUCAGGCCUGCUCUGGGUCUGAUGUG
rnacentral:lncRNA from 1 species